UACGAAGGGGGCUAGCGUUGCUCGGAAUCACUGGGCGUAAAGCGCACGUAGGCGGAUUGUUAAGUCAGGGGUGAAAUCCUGGAGCUCAACUCCAGAACUGCCUUUGAUACUGACGGUCUUGAGUCCGGGAGAGGUGAGUGGAACUCCGAGUGUAGAGGUGAAAUUCGUAGAUAUUCGCAGGAACACCAGUGGCGAAGGCGGCUCACUGGCCCGGUACUGACGCUGAGGUGCGAAAGCGUGGGGAGCAAACAGG
rnacentral:rRNA from 1 species